CCAUUUAACUGAUGUAAAAGGUUGAGAACUAUCAUAUUCAUUUUAUCUCGAUUUAAAACUAUUCCACAAGUUUAGAAGUGUUAUUACCAAUUCAUGCAAGGCAAGUUAAAAGCUGUUCCACAAGUGCAAAACUUGAACAGUGCAACAAGUUCAGAACUUUUACAUCCAAUUUAUGUAAGUUAAAAGCUGUUCCGCAGUGCCACCAUUCGCAGCAGUCAAACCGUGCAAUGGAAGUUCUAUUCACCAUGCAAUAGAACCUUCAUUGCACUGUGUGCUGCGUGCCGCGUGUGCGCCGUGCGUUGAGACAAAUAAUUCAAUGACAUGUGAUCAAUGAUCCACCAAUCAGAUGACAGGGAUUUAUUCAGGUGUUUUAUAAAGAGAGACAAUUAAUGGAGGUGGCAGUGACUAAUUAAUUACUUGUGUAAAUAAUUGUAAUUUAUUAGAUACUAUUAUGAAUAUUAUUAUUUGCAUUUGCAACUGUAUACCUUUUACCGACAUGAAAUAAAUGUUGAACAAUGAGAUUUAUAGUUAACAAGGGGUAAAUUAAGCUUCAAAAUCAAACAAGCCCAAUGAUAUGUCCCACAGUGACCAAAGAAUGGCCCAGCAGGGGUUGGUCACAAUAGUAAAGUUCCCCAUUCCUCAAUGCCCCAUGCGCACGUAAAAAAAACAAGGUAACACUCAUCGCUAAGAGAAGGAGUUUGCCCGGUGUUUUUGGCAGUGGCUGCUUAAUGCGUUGCAGCAGCUUGUGAACUUUUUUUUCUUGAAGAGGUAGAAGAAGACAAAAUCGACCGCGAGAAAAGGCAACACACGCGAACCGCAGAUAAAUUGUUUUUAUAUAUCUUGUAUGAUUUCCUGUAAAAUAUUGUGCAGGGAUGCUGAGCAAGAGCUUGCGACCAAUAUCCGCCGUCUGCAAAUUGAACAGUGAGCUUCUUAAAACUAACCAAAAGAUGGAGAGGCAGCUUGGCGACACCAGAGCCAACCUGGCUGCCUCCAGGCAAGAGUGCAGCGGCCUGAAGCAAUCCAUUGCACAGGUUCCAAUCUGAAGUCCAUCCAGAUGAUCCUUAAUAAGACAGCAGACGGUACAGGCAUAGACUCCAACACCCUGGCCUUACAGAUGAAGGGCCAUCCUGAGCUGAGGGACAAGCUUCAUGUCGUCACCUCUUGAGGGCCUUUGCCUGUCUACCCUGGGGUGGUCAACUCAGAAUUACCUGAGGAUCUCAAGACAUCUAUCACCAGGCAUCUUCUCAACAUGCAUCUCGACCCCAAAUGGCAAGCUCAACUGAACCAAUACAUGGUGUCCAAA